rnacentral:rRNA from 1 species
UACGUAGGGGGCAAGCGUUAUCCGGAUUUACUGGGUGUAAAGGGGGCGCAGACGGCGCGGCAAGUCCGGAGUGAAAUCCCAGGGCCCAACCCUGGGGCUGCUCUGGAAACUGCCGGGCUGGAGUGCUGGAGGGGCAGGCGGAAUACCUAGUGUAGCGGUGAAAUGCGUAGAUAUUAGGAGGAACACCGGUGGCGAAGGCGGCCUGCUGGACAGCGACUGACGUUGAGGCCCGAAAGCGUGGGGAGCAAACAGG